AUUUUUUUAAUUUCCUUUUAGUAGGUAUUAUAUUUUAUCUUUGAUGAAUUUUGUGGCCUACGACUAUAAGUAUACAUCAUUUGUCUUCUUCGUCAUUUGGUUCAUUUCUUUUCAAUCAAAAACUAAAGGAAUGAUCUCUCAUCAUCCUUUCUAUUCCUUUUUUUUUUUUAAUUCUUUUACCCCCUAACAAUUUCUACUCUCCUGCAUGAAGGAAUUCGAUGCUUAUUCACACGGGCAAGAGCAAUUUCAAAGUUCGCACCAAUAAUAAUAAGCAAAAGAUUAGUCCAAGUCAAUCAAGCUGGUUAUACAUAUUCACA
rnacentral:lncRNA from 1 species